rnacentral:lncRNA from 1 species
CCUCCAGAGAAUCUCGCAGAUGACGCAAGUGACGCGCCAGAGCCGUGUCCAGAAGACGGACCCAAAGUGCCUGCUCCGGUGCUCGCGCGAGGAGUGCCACUUUCUACAGGUUUUUGAGUUCGCAUGUGGUUUGGUGGAACCGAUGAAGAAGUCUGGACAUUUUCGGGAGCGCGAGGACGCAGGGGACGCUUGACUGCGGGGACAGAAGACUCUGUCGGGGAGGUCGCAUUGCGAGAAGAGGGGGAAAUGCCCUGAGACAGCGGUUCCCAAGACCUCAAAACAGAACGAUUGACAUACACAGCGUCGUCGAUCGUCGUGCCUGCCGGCGGAACUGCUUCAGACGAGGGACAGCCAUCUUGGGAGGGGGAUCUGCUCGGAUUCGAUGAAUCUGCUUUUGCUGCAGAGGGCGAGGGGAACCAGAGGCAAGCGAAAAGAAACACAAAACCGGAUCGUUCGCACCUGUCCACCAAAACCCCAAAAAGAAAUUGCUAUUCAAGAAAAUGGCGGCAACAACCUCUCGCUUUCCAUGAAUGCAUAUUUUUGCAGGG